rnacentral:sRNA from 1 species
CUGUCCCUGCCACAGGAAUAUGGGGACACCGUGUACACCAUUGAAGUUCCCUUUCACGGCAAGACGUUUAUCCUGAAGACCUUCCUGCCCUGUCCUGCGGAGCUCGUGUACCAGGAGGUGAUCCUGCAGCCCGAGAGGAUGGUGCUGUGGAACAAGACAGUGACUGCCUGCCAGAUCCUGCAGCGAGUGGAAGACAACACCCUCAUCUCCUAUGACGUGUCUGCAGGGGCUGCGGGUGGCGUGGUCUCUCCAAGGGACUUCGUGAAUGUCCGGCGCAUUGAGCGGCGCAGGGACCGAUACUUGUCAUCAGGGAUCGCCACCGCACACAGUGCCAAGCCCCCAACGCACAAAUAUGUCCGGGCCGUCUGCCCCGGUACCUCAUCCACCAGAGCCUCGCGGCCACCAUGUUUGAAUUUGCCUUUCACCUGCGACAGCGCAUCAGCGAGCUGGGA